UGUGGGCUUUAUUUCCACCGUUAAGAUGUAUCCUCAUUAAUUCUCCUUCAAAUUUCCAGAGCAUUUCGAAGGGAGAAACUGAAAAUAGAAGAAUAAGAAAAUUUUGGAAAAAUUGGGUGGGGGAGAAUAAGAAUUUCCAAGAGAAAAGCUUCAGCCAUCACAGUUCUUGGUUCACACAACAAACUUCUGAUGUUUUAUUGACUGCAAACUACUAAAGAAGAAUUAGAAGGUGAGACCUAUCAGGUAAAGAUCGAGUUUUCGAUACCUGACAAGCACACUGUCACAGUCUACUAGAAGCUUCUAGUUCUAUUUUUAGUACGUGGGUAGAUUUGUGCAUAAGAGUAUAUAUAUGUUUGAGUUUUGUAAACACUUAGUAAAGUUUGGGUAGUGGGUGUUAGUAUUUUGAAAUUUUUGUUUUAUGGUUUGUUGAACUCUGGUUGUAAAUGUCUAUAUCAGACUUGGUAAACCAUUUGUGUUAAAUUUGGGUUGCACUACAAUGUUGGGAAAAGAUUGGUUCUAGUUUACAUUGUAAUUGUUGCAUGAUAUAUAUAUGAAUUACAGGUUAAAUUUUAGGUUUAAGUUCAAGUUUCAAGCGAGGUCAGCAGGUAUCAUUAGAGGGGGACGAUGUUUGUUGGCUUCAUGCCAUCUUUUAGGCUAAAAGCAGGUGGUCUAGAUGGGGUGUCUCAAGUUUUUUCUAAACUCUAUCUUUUGAUCUUUUUGUUUGUCAAAGUUAUUUUCAUCAUGGUUCUUUAUGGCUAAUUUUCUAGUGUAAGGCUUGACUAGAAUCUGUAUAUUGUGGCAAUUUAUUAGUAUUAAUCGAAUAUAACCUUGUGUAUCUUUUUGCCUUAGUUCUUUACCUUAUAAAGUGUUUUUCUUUAUCUAACCAAUUGAAGUCAAACGGUAGAACAUGAUUCUUUGGAGAAAGGGAGUGUGAAAAUAUUUAAAGCAACUGAGACUGUAGCAUUAAUAUACAUGUUUCAUCAACUAAAAAUUUAAUCAUAUAACACUAAUCCUUAGGUAUAAUAAAGACACUCAAAAGUUAGAGUGGAAAUGAUGGUAAACGCAUGGAAUUAACACAUAUGACCACCAACUAGUUUGAUGUUCUAGAUCUCUGCGUGUUUUCAACCAUCUAGCUGCAAGAAAGAAAUUAUUUUUUCUUAAGCAAAAAAAGGAAAAAGAAGUAUCACUUGAAGCUUCAAUGGUUUCAACAAAAUGUGCGAUUCAUUGCAUAAAAUUGGAGGUGAUUUGCCGACGUCGAAAAAGGCAUUGGAAAAAGGGACGUUGUAAGAAACACCAUCUCGCGGCGUCGUGAAGAAAGCGUCAGUAGUAUGGAGUUCUGGCGAUGUCGCACAAAUAACGUCGACAUAGGGUGAGGAUCCAAGAUGCUACAUGAGGAGACAUUGCGAAAACAUUUAAUUUAAAUAAUAAUAUAGGCUUUUCACGAUGCCAUGCAUGUACACGUUGUUGUUGACCCAAUUAUUGCCGACCUUGCAUGUAAGUCGUCGUGAGAGGUUGACCUUUGAAAAAAUUCCGACAACCAUAUCACGACGCCAAAUUGCAUGGUGUUGUGAGGGGUCUAACCUCUAGUAACAUGGGGUGGGUAAUUUCAUGAGAUAUGUGACGUUUUGACUGCUUUUGACAAGUUUCUCACAAUGCCAUAAGUGACUGCGUUGCGAGUUGGGGAUCUUAUGCUGACGUCAUAAGUGAAACGUCAGGAUUUCCUCUAUAAAAAAUCAACUUCACAUUCUGUAAUUCAUAGAACUGAGAAGGUUGACCGAGAGAGAACUGAAAAGGAGAGAAGAUCGAGAGAGAGUUGAGAGAGGCUAAGAAGAAGAGCAAUUGUUGUCGCUUCAUUCUGUUCGUCGUCAUCUGCCGCUGUCGCUCUUCAUUUUAAAUUACAAUUUUCUAUAUUGAAGUAGUGAAGAAAGAAAAGGAAUAGUAUGAGAAGUCUAUAGAGGAGCUUAUAUGCAAUGGAGGAGCUCAAAGAAAGUUAAAUAGUAGCAGUCAAGAGUUCAACAUGGAUUGUAGCUAGUAUGAUCAUAGACACAGGCAUAAUAUGCAAAGAGGAAAGUUGAACAUUAUUACAAGCUACGUCAAGGAAAUACAAGCUUGCUUCAGAUAGAAACAACCCUUAUUCUAGUGGUUCAGAAAAUUGAUUCAAAAGAGAGGAGAAAAUGACAAGAUCAAGAACCGAACAGGUAAGCCAUAACUCACUUGCAUAUUACGUGAAUAUGAUUGAUUGUUAAAAAACUUAUCAAUCACAUUUACUUAAUAUGCAAGUGGGAAACUUUCUAUGACUUACUGUUCUGUAAUUGAUUUUGUCAUUUACUGCUCCUCUCUUCCUAAUCAAUUUUCUGGAACCACUAGAGUAAGAGUUGUUUAUGCUUGAAGCAACCUCGUAUUUUCCUUGAUGCACCUCGUAAUAAUGUUCAACUUUCCUUUUUGCACAUUCUUCCUAUGUCCCUAUGAUCAUACUAUCUAUAAUCAUGUGAGACAAUGUGCAUAACUUGAGAAACUGGCAUUGACGUGUAGAACUAUGUUUUAAGUUUUCAAUUUUACUUUUUAUUAUUCAUGUAAUUUCUGAACCUAAAAAUGUGUACUUUUUAAUAUAUGAAUUAAUAUUAAUAUAAAUUCGAUUUGGUA